UACAUUUUAGUAUAUUAUGUACAAGAGUUUUUGAUGCUUUGAGUAAUAAUUUAGUUUAUUAGAUGUAU
rnacentral:tRNA from 1 species